rnacentral:rRNA from 1 species
GUGAGGAAUAUUGGUCAAUGGGCGGGAGCCUGAACCAGCCAAGUUGCGUGAAGGAAGAAGGAUCUAUGGUUCGUAAACUUCUUUUGCAGGGGAAUAAAGUGCAGGACGUGUCCUGUUUUGUAUGUACCCUGAGAAUAAGGAUCGGCUAACUCCGUGCCAGCAGCCGCGGUAAUACGGAGGAUCCGAGCGUUAUCCGGAUUUAUUGGGUUUAAAGGGUGCGUAGGUGGUUUGAUAAGUCAGCGGUGAAAGUUUGCAGCUUAACUGUAAAAAUGCCGUUGAAACUGUCGGACUUGAGUGUAAAUGAGGUAGGCGGAAUGCGUGGUGUAGCGGUGAAAUGCAUAGAUAUCACGCAGAACUCCGAUUGCGAAGGCAGCUUACUAAGCUACAACUGACACUGAAGCACGAAAGCGUGGGGAUCAAACAGGAUUAGAUACCCGAGUAGUCC